AUCAAAAUCAACUUUGGAUGUUCAGUUUAUUUGUUAGUCAGACGACGAUUCGAUUUUCGUUUCAAGAUUAUAAAAAGUUUCAAGAAUAUCAUUAUGGCGCGGUUGGUAAUUAGUUGGUAUCAAUCGUAGCCGCAAUAAGCCUAGUUCAAUGAUAUAUAUGUUGUAAGGUGCGGCAAAGGUUGGAUGCCUGUAUUAUUAGAGAAAAGUAUGGUAAAUCCCUGGGGCCUAGACAACUUUAUUUUUAUGAAAAAUCUGACAUCACACCGACGAUAAUAAGGAAUCAACGAGCUUUGAUAUAAAUAGAGAGGUGCACGAAAAAUGCAACGAUACAUACUUAGUUUAAUUGAAUAUUGAAUAUAUUUCGAAAUAUAUCUAGUGUCUUGCCCCUACCUUAUUUUUAAGGACGCUUAAUUUAACGACAUAGGAAAUUAUUUUCAACCGAAACAAGACAAACUGCCGAUGAAAUUAAAAAAAAAAAACUACCGAACAGUACUAAGUACUAAUACUAAGUUUGCCGUGUUACUUUAUAAGAUGCGCUGCAAGAUGCUCUAAAGCAUUUUACACACAUCUUACGGAGACUGCGACAGAGUUCUGCAUCACACUAAACCAACUAAGCCGCUUUUGUCUCACCUGCAUGUAUAUCAUUGCAUGCAUGUAUUUGUUUACAAGUUUGACAGGUUAAAACUGGGCACUUAUGACAAUUUUAUGAGAUAUUUUUCAUAGCCAACUAGUAGUUUUUUAGAUUUAGAAUGACCGCAAUAAAACUGGUUUCUAUGUUAUAUGACAGCAAGCUGGAAUGGUUUUCUUUUUAUCUAACAAUGCGUGAACUGGAAUCUUUAAUAGAUAAGCAGCUGGAAAAACUUGAAACAGUUUCAUUUGGAUCUCAUGAUGUAGUUCUGCGUAGACUUCCAGAUCUGCCCAAAUAUGCUAAAACACCUUCGACGUCCAAAGUUGAUAAAUCUAUAUUUGAAGAACAUUCGUAUUCCUUGUUUAGUAGAAAUACAGGUUACACGACUGCAAAAGAGGCGGUGAGCUUCGCAAAUAAUUGCCUACGACCAACACUAUUUCAUUUGAAUCGCACAACACCUGCUAGUAGUAUAAACCAUAGAUUCAGUUAAGUCGAAAAUUCUCAUUGGAAUCCAGAUACUCCGUCAUCGCUUAUACUGGAACAGGCGCGCUCUUGGCAAAAUCGGUCGAGAUCUUUGAAUAGUUCAUCUUGUUCGAACUCAGUGUUCGAUCGAUCUUCGGUUGCGCAAAAAACGGCAUCAAUGCACUUUUUUAAUCGUACUGACUCAGCUAAGAAAAACGAAUCCUCGCCGGAGAUGUUCUUAUUACCAACAUCACUUUCUAAAGAGCUCACUGGGACAGGUCGUUUACUGGAUAUUGAUAAUGAGCACUACCUGAAUACGUCAGCAGAUAUAACAUUCAAUAAUAUAGUUUCAUCAACACCAAAAUCAGUUCCUCUAUCGAGAAAAAAAGAAUUAUCAGAAUCAACCACUCUAUCUGCUUUUUCAUUGAAUUCCCCGUCUACUUUGGAGCCGAUUAAUUUGGUCCUACUUAGACCUCGAUUUUGGAAUCAGCAACUGAACCCCACACGAAUCCGCUAGGACCUGAGAACCCGAGGCCUUUCGCGAUAUCUUGGCUUGAACAACAGCGAACAACAACAACGAACCAUAACCAGCAACUGAACCCCGCACAAUACUUCCAGGCCCCGAGGAUUACAUGCCCCUGUCCCAGCUCAUGACAUCGUGGCUUAGCAGAACAAAUCCAUACAUGCUGCAUAUCCAUGGCCAUUCGACGAUCAUCAGACGACCAUUCAACUACAAAACAUUGAUUGAAAAAUAUAUGCUAGUUUUAAGAUAGACUUAAUUUCAGCUCGUAGUCGGCAGCGAGGAUAAAAAAUUUGCUUAAAGAAUUUAAGUCAUCAGAUAUAAUUGGCGCCGUUAAACAUUAAAUUGUAUUUGUGCCGUGUCAAAUAAACGAUAGGUGAAGAAAUAAAAAAUUUUGGUCCUACCGAAACUACCACUAAUAUAAGAUUUUGGAAGUGCAAAGCAACUGACAGAGAGUGUUACUUUUAACUUUGAUGAACAUGC